rnacentral:tRNA from 1 species
CUUUCUACAGAGGUUCAAAUCCUCUCGUUAACU